rnacentral:rRNA from 1 species
AAAACUUUCAACAACGGAUCUCUUGGUUCUGGCAUCGAUGAGAAACGCAGCGAAAUGCGAUAAGUAAUGUGAAUUGCAGAAUUCAGUGAAUCAUCGAAUCUUUGAACGCACAUUGCGCCCUUUGGUAUUCCGAAGGGCAUGCCUGUUCGAGCGUCAUUA